AACCUACUCCCUCCGUUCGGAAAUACUCGUAGUUGAAAUUGAUGUAUCUAGAUGUAUUUUAGUUCUAGAUAUAUCCAUUUUAAUGACAAGUAAUUUCGAACGGAGGGAGUAGGUA
rfam:Triticum aestivum genome assembly, contig: Triticum_aestivum_CS42_TGACv1_scaffold_094739_2AL